GUUUGAGGGGUUCUCUUUACUCUAUUUGUUUAUAUUGUUAUACUUGCUUGUUUAAGAAGCUUUGAUUUGUUUUAAAUCCUUGUUCUAAGAUAUUGUAACUUGAUUCAAUCAAGGGAUUGAAUCCAGGGGUUAAGGUUUGUUGGUGAGCCAAAGGGAAAACCAACGUUGUAAGGUUGUGGUUGGUGAGCCUUUGGGAAAACCAACUGGGUUGAUUGUGAACCCGGAAAACAAUCAUUGUAAGGUUGUGGUUGGUGAGCCUUUGGGAAAACCAACUGGGUUGAUUGUGAACCCGGAAAACAAUCGUUGUAAGGUUUUGGUUGGUGAGCCCUUGGGAAAACCAACUGGGUUUGAUUGUGAACCCGGAAAAACAAUCGGUUGGUUCUAGUCGGUGAGCCUGUGAAAACCGACCGAGUUCGUUAUAAUCUCGCAAAACAACAAGUUGGGUUGUGAGCUUGUAAAACAACCGGCUGUAAUCUGUAGGAUUAUAGUGAAAUUCUCAAGAGGUCUUGGGGAGUGGAUGUAGGUGCUGGGGUGCACCGAACCACUAUAUGUUUGUUGUGUUUGUAAUGCUUCUUGUCAUUGUCUAACUUACUUACUUACUUAGAUAAAUUGCUUGCUUAACUCUUAUCCGCGCAUCCUUUAGUUGCAAGCAUAUUCAAUCAAGUCACAUUCUAUACAUCAAACUGUUGCUAAGUUUAAAUUUCACUGUGCAUCUAUACAACUUAGCAUAAUUAAUCAAAAAGUUACAGAAGUAGUAUAAAAGGAUUUAAAAGACCUAAUUCACCCCCCCUCUUGGGUUGUAUCUACUGGGCAACACGGUCCCUACUUGAGCCUGGACCGCGAUGCCGCGGUCUAGCUCUUCUUUGCGUGGACCACGAUGUCGCGGUUCAUAACCUCCUGAUGCAUCACGGUCUGAGGAAGACCUCACCGUGGAUCGUGAAUUCGAUAAAAAAAUGAUGGAUUUCGGAAGGAAUGGAGAAGAAAUUAUAAAUUUUUUCUCCUAAAACAUGAUUCAAAAGGAUGGAUACAAAAAUAGAAAAGAAGAAUACAUUUUCCGUAUGGAAAAGGAUCUUAUCCACGGCUAGAAUUUUUUUGUUAGAACUCCAGCAGAUUUUUAGGAUUAUAAAAGGACAAAGUGUAUAAUUGUUAUAUUUUAUUAGAGAUAUUUUGGUAAAAAAAAAUAGCCUCCUAAUGGAGCCUAAAAGUAUUUUUUCGAUCUCAAAAAGCUGCUUUUAGUUUUCUAAAAAAGCUAAAACAGCUUUUCAAAAUUUUUACCAAACAUCCUUUUUUAUUUAAAAGUGUUGUUGUAGGGCCAAAAAGUAUUUUUUGGCCCUCCAAAGACUCUCCCAAAUGGGGCCUUACACUAACCAAGUGCUUAUUUAGUUCACAAGAAGAAUUUCACCCCAUUAGAAUAUUUUUCCUAGGAAGGCAGGUAUAUAAUAUAUAGAAAGUGACUUUUGUAUGUUUAGUUGAAUAUAAAAAAGUGAUAUGAAUUAGAGUAGCUUAUAUUUGGUUGAGCAUUAACUUUUUUAGAAAAGUUGUAGAAAAAAUAUUAUAUUCUUAAUAAAAUAAAAUAACUCGUUAUUCUCUCUAAAAAUUUUAGGGCACUUUUGAAAAAAAAAAACCUAAAUUUUUAAGUGAUAGGAAUUGGACUUUUUCAUAUUUUUUAUGAAUUUUUUUUCAUAAAAUGUGUAAAUCUUAUUUUUAUAAAAAAAUCAUUUUUUUAUUUUCUUUUUGAAAACUCUAACUAAAUAUAAGGUGUUUCUUUAUUUUUUUUGUGGACCAUAACUUUCCUUCUGUUCAUGUCAGAAACCAAAUAAGUCCUAAAAGAUUUCUGGUUAAGUUAACAAGAGAGAGAGAAAAUAACAACUAUCUUACUCUUGGUGCCAAAACCUGGGGGUCUCUCAUCGAUUUGCCUUACUUGUUCCUCUCUGCCCAUCGAGCAAUGAGGUCUUCACAAUGAGGUCUUUUCCCCCCAUCGAGCGACAAAAUGCUACCGAUCUUCUUCACCGACAAGAGCGAGCUAGCGUGAAGGAGUCUGCUACCUUUCUUUUCCAUUUCGGAUGCACCACGGAACUGGGGGUUUUCAGAAAAUUCGAUAGGUUGGGGCAGAAAACCCGCCGCCAAGUUUGUCUGGGUAAAGCUUGGAUGUGUACGCGGGCAUGCCACGGGAGUUGGGCUACCUAGAAACAGGUAGGUUGAAGAAAAGAUAAAAAGCAGUGGGGAUCUAGGGCCUUAAUCUUUGUAAACUUUCGCCACCGUUAUACGAUUAUUUGGAAAAGAUGAAACUUGAUAGGGGUGUGGCAUUGAACUAUAGCAGAAGGGUAUAACACUAGGCUAUAGUAAGGAUGUACCUCUAGAAACAAUAGAGAUUUUAAGUUACACCUAUUCUUAGCUUAAGAAACUAAGGUAAAGAUCAAUUGAUUAGAUUGAUUGUCGAAUGGGUCCUUUUACAAAGUACAAUUCUAUUGUUUAUGCUCAUACAAAAUAACUACCCUCAAAUAUAAUAACUAUUCAGUGCAACAAUUGCUUUCCAUAUCUGGUCUCCACUCAAUGGCUUUGGUAACUGCUGCCAACCGUCUUCGCAAUAUACAUGGAUACAAGCACGAUCAUUCUGUAGCUACCAGAUUGAUAGUCUUGUUUUAUCGGUCUUUAACUUAUCUUACCAUAGCUUGCAUCGGCCGUCUCUCCUCAUUCGGUCUAAUGCUAUAAUCCUCUGUUUUUGGGAAUCUGAGAUCGGUAUGACUAUCUUGAUCUUCUACCAAUCAUCUUUCAUGGCAAAAACUUGAUCGUUUCAGUCUGCUUAUUCACAUUAUGAUCGAAUUCUAUCUGUUCAAUUUGAGUGCCCAGUUAGUGUAAUUUUAAUAACUAAACUGUAUUUCGUCUCGACAAAAGUCAUGUGAUUCUCGUAUGUUUUGAUUCUAUCAACUUUAAUCUAUAUGGUGCUUGCUCCUAGCUGUCAACUAAAAUAUUGAGAUAUGGUUUAAAUAAGCAUGAUAGCCCUAAUAGCGAGGGACAUAUGACAAAGGCAGACAUGGUUAGAUUGGACAAAGUUUGGGCAUAGCGACCCCUGAAGGGGCUCUAAUUGAAUCCUCUUCUAUUUUCAAUGCAGAGCGAGUUCUCCUCCACAAGAAACCAGCCUGUUGCUGGAAAUUGGACCCGAGGGCAAUCUUCGGUCGAGGAAAGGGAGCGGCGAGUUCUCACGGCGGGGCGGCGGUCCGUUGGCGAGCGGCGUCCUCCGUCUGGGGCGGUCGGAGAGAUGGGACGGCGGGUCCACGCGGCGAGGCGCCGAUCCGUCAGNNNNNNNNNNNNNNNNNNNNNNNNNNNNNNNNNNNNNNNNNNNNNNNNNNNNNNNNNNNNNNNNNNNNNNNNNNNNNNNNNNNNNNNNNNNNNNNNNNNNNNNNNNNNNNNNNNNNNNNNNNNNNNNNNNNNNNNNNNNNNNNNNNNNNNNNNNNNCUCCCUUUUAUAGGCGGGGGUCGGUUUACCUGCGAUGUAACAGGGCGAAGCCGUAGUACGGCUCGGCAUGUCAUUCGGGUCGGCGCGCGGUCAGGCGAAUCAUUGCACUGAUGUCGGCGGUGAGGGCGUCGUACAGCCCGAACUAGCACGCUAUCAAGCGAAUUAUUGCAUUGGUGUCGGAGGUAUGGCCGAGAUCGGAGACUUAUCAUAGUUGACUAGACUCUGCUAGGCUGAUUUGCCGUGGAGAGCUGAGAGUCCGUAGAUGACAGGAGCCAUGCGCAUUUAUUGUGGAGUAAGCCGGAGAUCCGCAUUUAUUGUGGAGUAAGCCGGAGAUCCGCAUUUAUUGUGGAGUAAGCCGGAGAUCCGCAUUUAUUGUGGAAUAAGCCGGAGAUCCGCAUUUAUUGUGGAGUAAGCCGGAGAUCCGCAUUAAUUGUGGAGUAAGCCGGAGAUCCGCAUUAAUUGUGGAGUAAGCCGGAGGGUUACAGC
rnacentral:lncRNA from 1 species